GAUUGAACCGCCGUGGCGGCGUGCUUAACACAUGCAAGUCGAACGGGAAACAGUUUUAUUGGAAGACGUUCGGCAGAUUUAGUUUGUUUCUAGUGGCGGACGGGUGAGUAACGCGUGGGUAACCUGCCUCACACUGGGGGAUAACAGUCAGAAAUGACUGCUAAUACCGCAUAAGCGCACGGGACCGCAUGGUUUAGUGUGAAAAACUCCGGUGGUGUGAGAUGGACCCGCGUUGGAUUAGCCAGUUGGCAGGGUAACGGCUCACCAAGGCGACGAUCAGUAGCCGACCUGAGAGGGUGACCGGCCACAUUGGGACUGAGACACGGCCCAA
rnacentral:rRNA from 1 species